GAUCAUGGCUCAGGAUGAACGCUAGCGACAGGCUUAACACAUGCAAGUCGAGGGGCGGCAUGAUUCGUAGCAAUACAGAUUGAUGGCGACCGGCGCACGGGUGAGUAACGCGUAUGCAACUUACCUAUCAGAGGGGGAUAGCCCGGCGAAGUCGGAUUAAUACCCCAUAAACAGGGUCCCGCAUGGGAAUAUUUUGUUUAAAGAUUACAUCGCUGAUAGAUAGGCAUGCGUU
rnacentral:rRNA from 1 species